UACGGGGGGGGCAAGCGUUGUUCGGAAUUACUGGGCGUAAAGGGCUCGUAGGUGGCCAACUAAGUCGGAUGUGAAAUCCCCAAGCUUAACUUGGGAACUGCAUCCGAUACUGGAUGGCUUGAAUCCGGGAGAGGGAUGCAGAAUUCCAGGUGUAGCGGUGAAAUGCGUAGAUAUCUGGAGGAACACCGGUGGCGAAGGCGGGAUCCUGGGCCAGUACUGACGCUGAGGAGCGAAAGCGUGGGGAGCGAACAGG
rnacentral:rRNA from 1 species